CAUAGUGUGNUCUGGAAACUGUCUGACUUGAGUGCAGAAGGGGAGAGUGGAAUUCCAUGUGUAGCGGUGAAAUGCGUAGAUAUAUGGAGGAACACCAGUGGCGAAAGCGGCUCUCUGGUCUGUCACUGACGCUGAGGCUCGAAAGCGUGGGUAGCGAACAGGAUUAGAUACCCUGGUAGUCCACGCCGUAAACGAUGAGUGCUAGGUGUUAGGCCCUUUCCGGGGCUUAGUGCCGGAGCUAACGCAAUAAGCACUCCGCCUGGGGAGUACGACCGCAAGGUUGAAACUCAAAGGAAUUGACGGGGGCCCGCACAAGCGGUGGAGCAUGUGGUUUAAUUCGAAGCAACGCGAAGAACCUUACCAGGUCUUGACAUCCCGAUGCUAUUCUUAGAGAUAGGAAGUUACUUCGGUACAUCGGAGACAGGUGGUGCAUGGUUGUCGUCAGCUCGUGUCGUGAGAUGUUGGGUUAAGUCCCGCAACGAGCGCAACCCUUAUUGUUAGUUGCCAUCAUUAAGUUGGGCACUCUAGCGAGACUGCCGGUAAUAAACCGGAGGAAGGUGGGGAUGACGUCAAAUCAUCAUGCCCCUUAUGACCUGGGCUACACACGUGCUACAAUGGUCGGUACAACGAGUUGCGAGCCGGUGACGGCAAGCUAAUCUCUGAAAGCCGAUCUCAGUUCGGAUUGGAGGCUGCAACUCGCCUCCAUGAAGUCGGAAUCGCUAGUAAUCGCGGAUCGGCACGCCGCGGUGAAUACGUUCCCGGGCCUUGUACACACCGCCCGUCACACCACGAGAGUUUGUAACACCCGAAGUCGGUGAGGUAACCUUUUAGGGNCCAG
rnacentral:rRNA from 1 species